CAUUUCUUAUAAAUCAAAGGGAAUGACUGUGAUUCUAUACUUGGAUCUUGUGCUAAUAUAGGACAUACUGUGCCAUUACAUUGCAUCAACUUUGUUUUCCUGCUGCUGUAAUUUAUAGAAUCAGGAUUGGGGAAUGGUCUGGGUUGGAAGCAACCUUAAAGAUUACCUGGUUGCCACUCCCUACCAUGACUGGUUCAGUCAUUGAGUCUAUGGGGGCAGUGCUUGGGUGCCUGUUAUCUGCCAUUGUUCUGAUGCAAAGCAUUCUGAUCUUCUGACCCAUCGAGCAUCAGCUCAGCUUCAGUUCCAAGAGCAGCCCCGCUGAUGUCUUAGAGUGAUUUUCAGCUUAUGCUUAAUUGUGUGGAGUCAUACGUAAGCAAUCCUGUAGGUCGUAAAUAGUGAAUAAUUACUAAAAAGUAAUCAUGGUUCUGUAACAGAAUCAUGGUAAUGGAAGAUCUGUAUAUAAUUGACCAUUUUAAUCUCAGGCUGUAGUAUAAAGCAGUUGUUCUUGUUCUAUGGUCCACAAAACAAAUGUCCGUUCUGUUUUCCACUGUGUAGAAAAAUAAGUGUAGCCCUCCACUGGCUUGACAAGAAUGGAAUUAUAAUUUUAUUUCCCUUAGACUUUCUACGUGCUAUGCUAUAGGUGUAAAACUAACAGCUAUUUGGUUUACAUUCACAACUCUCACAGUGCCUAUUGACUUCUGGGAUUGUUUUACUGGAGCGUGAUAUUAUUUAGAUCUGUUCCAAUCUGUUUCUGAUUCUACUGUCAGUCUCUGAAUGGAGUAUAUUUGAGCUAAAAAAGAGAGAAGGAGGAAGAAAAUAAUUCCCAUGGAGGAUAUAAUGCAGAACUCCAGAAAAAACAACAUUCUGCACAUUCUGGUAUUUCCAGUCUCUCAGAAGAUCACUUUCCAGUGGUAGCUGUUGGAUUGUUAAGACUAUAGUGAUAUUCUAUAGCUAAUUUUGUUGCCUCAGCACAAUUUGCUGCUUAUUUCCCCAAUAUUUGACUUCUACUUGCAAGACGAUGGAACAAUUUUCUCUUAAACAGUAGCCGAAUUGUCUAUGAUGUGGUGCAUGUCAAACAAAAUCUGUAGGGAAAGUUUUGAUCUCAAGAGCUAGCUCAGUAGGGCUACCUCCUGGCAUGUGCAGCUUGUACAGAGGAGGCACAACUCCUAAUAUAUCCCUUUCAGGUAAGCAGUUUUCUGAAGAUGAGAGGGAAUCAGGGCACAUCUAGAGGAGAUGCUUUGCUUUGAACACACAAUGCUCAGAUUCUGUUUUAUUAAUUUAUCCUAUUAUUUAUUAAUGUGAUCUUCCAUUGGAGAGAUGCUGAUUUUUGUAGUGGUGGAUCACAAAUCUUCCUGCACAACUGGCCCUUUGGGCAACCUGUGGUUACUCUGAAGUCUUUGGAGUCCUCUCUAAAGCCAUCAGUUGCCAAGGAGAAUGGUUCCAUGGGUGAAGACUGUAGUCCUUACCAUGAUUGCCUGCCCUUGUUCUACUCUCUGAAGUCUUGCCAAGCCAAGUUUCUUUUAUAGGGUUAGAGUACCUUGUUAACUGGUAAAGGCUGUGUUUGCAGAAGACCAGAUGGGAAGACUGUUCAACACUGCAGGUUUUGCUCUGACCAGGAGAUGACUACUGUAUGCACAGAGACUGCUGAAGUGUGUGAAGAGGAAAAAUAACACAAUGAGAAAAAAAUACAAAAAAGCAACCAGUGCCAUGAAUAAUCCUGAAAUAUGGAUGGAGAUAUGUAUUUGGACAAGGAAUGAUGUGAUGGGUUGGAUGAUGUGGAGCAGAGCAAGCCAGGACAGCUCGUGUACUGUGGAAAACUGAACUGGGUGAUGUGGAAUGGUUCUGGAUGGCACUGGUAAGAAUGAAAACAGCAGUAUUUGGCCCUCCAAAAUGGAACAUGUGAUUCAACUAAGGCCUUUCCUUGUGAUGCCCAGCAGCACAAUGUGCUGAGCUCCCCUCGUGCAUAGCCUGGUGGUACUGAGUAAUGCGGUUGUUCUGUUAAUGCUGGCAAUGGAUUUGCUUUGUGCUCUUUUCUCUUUAAGUGAGAGUAGGAGAUGACCCAUGAAAACUUUGAAGAUGCUUCUGAGUCACCAUGAGGAAAAUGAGGAUCAGUGUUGGGCUGGAAGGGGAAGGGAGCAGCUGGGUGAGGAGUACAUCACGUUCCCUAUCCUGUGAGACUGGCCUUCAGUGUAAUGGAAGAGAAUACAGAAAGAAAGCAAAUCUACUGGAAAAAGAGGGAAGAAAAUAGUGCUGGCUAAAAUGAAUAUGAGCAGCUCAGCUGUGUUGCUCAGGGCAGCAGGUGGUGAGUUGGGGCUACAGGCUGGAGAAGGGCUUCAGUUGCAGUUGGUCAUGUUCUGCUACACCUGUGAUAAUCAAAGAGUUAAAAGCUGCCCCUGGAUAGCUUCAAAUUGUCUCUUUAAAUAAAAUAUUAAAUUUGAAGGAAGGAAAGUAAUGGGGCAACCAAAAGAUGAGCUGGAGGAGCAGGGCUUCAAGUCUGUAGGGGUUUGGUAAGGUACAAGAGCUACCUUCCCUCUGCUUCCCUGAGAGAAAAGCUGUGUUUUAUUGAAAGAAGGUUAUGGGCAAGAAGAUAGGUUUAAAGCUACCUAUAAAUCCUGGAAGGCAAGGAUCUGAAUUACUUUGUCUUGUUUUAGAAGUAUAAUUCCUGGUAAUUGGUUUCUGAAUUGAGAACAGGCAAAUAUUAUACAAUCAAUCUCAUAUAUGAUACGUUUUUCUGUUCUGAUUUUGCAGAGCUGAGGAGGGGGAUAAUUCAGUCCUACAAGUGAUGUUUCAGCAUGUUAUUACUACCACAGUUUUUGAGAUUUGCAAUUAGUUUUGCCGGUGUGAGACAUUUAUUGCAACAUAAAUACCCCCCCCUCCCACCUCCCCAUGUACCUUUUGCAUCACCCUGUCAAUGAGAAAUGCUAGACUUGAGUUUGCAGUCUCUCCCAAACAGCAUGGAAGCUUUCCAUGCAAGAGGAACAAGAAGGGCUUUCAGGGCUAUGUGAAGCCACAGCACUUCACAUCAUCCUGGUUGUGAGGAAUGCUAUUUUUUGAAGGGAAAAACCUGGUUGCUGGUGCUCAGCUUUGUGCUUCUCACAUUUCCUUCACUCUUGAUGAACUGCAUGUACCAAAAGGCCAUUUGUGACACCACUUGAGGAACUUCUCCUGUCAGAGAUGAUUCUGUGUUGUGAAAGUCUUCUCGGGAUCAUUAUGCGUGCCUUCUCUUUUCUUCCACUCACAGCUCACCUAUCUUUGUUUUUAUUAAAUAAUGAUUCUGAAAUGUGCUUAAGAAUGUAAUUUUUAAGAGACUGUUAUUUAAUUAUUGAAAAUUUUGAAGAGGAGAUAUUAAACCAAUUAUUAAUUUAAAGUUGAUUAUGAAUCCCAGAGAGAUAAUUACUGAGGUCCGGGGCAAUUUGUCUUCUAUUCAAAAUAGAUUUUCACUUGAUUGCAUUGUAUUUGUCAUUUACAUUUAUGGUUAUUACUGCAAAGGACUGCAUUAUCCUGCAAAGUACAAAAUGUUUCUCCACAGUUGGCCAUGGGCAAAAGGUCAGCUGAACUUUUCAUGUGGACAUGCUGUCUCUUGGAAGGAAUCCAUCCUUUCUCCCAUCACCGGCAAAAUUCACUCCAACGCUGAACCCUUUGGCAUGACACACAGCCAUGGCCUCAGCCCCUACCCAAGGUCACCGCGGUGGGCAGGUUCCACUUGGUGGGCUCUGCUCUCACAGCUCUGCAGCACAGAGCACCAACAGCGCUCAGCUCCCACGGCAGUGAGAGGCGUUUGCUAAUUAAACCUUCCCUCAUCUGUGGGAGGGAGAGAAAAAUCACAGUGGAGAAGAAGUGAACAAGGUGUGCUGUGUUCCUCUAAGAGCUGCCAAGGACCCUAUCAGAUGAUUUCAGCCUUUGAAGGUACAGACUGAGCAAAAAGCUAAGGAGUAGAUGAUGUUGUUCUCAUUUUAAGGCAAUAGUCCCAUGUUAAUUUUGAGGGCUGAUUGGCAGAGGAACGUGCUGCUGUGACCACAUGGACUGAUGGAUCUGAAGAUGUGAUGAAUGCUCUUAAAGUCAGAGAAAAGAAAACAAACCACGGAUUUCUUUCUUUUCUAAAGCAUUUAUUAGUGUGAUGACCUCACAGCUGAGUGUAUAACCUAAUGAACAAUCCUUCUCCAGAACGUGGUAGUGGGAAUGAAGAACUGAUCUACAGAACCCAGUGAACCAACUGCAAUGGAAGAGAUGGAAAAAAGAAUCCAUUAGCAGCUGAAUUUGUGUCUGUCACUGCAGAAGGAGCUGCCGUUGGAGCUUUGCUGGACUCCUGCUGCUCUUUUUCUUGGGAUUGAGAGGCAUGGCCUGUGGACAGAUGGAGUCCAUGAGUCAAUGAAAGCCUUAACACUUUCCAGCCACAGAACUGCAGUGUUCUGAUUGCCAGCUGCCUGGCGGUGCAAUGGAACUGCCUGCACCCAGAUUCAUGCAGAUGAGGUGGAUGCCAUCUUGGAGCCAUGAAAAUGGUAAAACCAGUGCUCAAGUAAAAGAAGUUUUUCACUGGGGAGGAAUCCACAGAGCUGUGGGUUGCUCAGUGGGACAGUGCCCACAUGCAGGGCAGUGGGGGAGCUGGAGUGACCAUGCUGUGGUUCUGGUCAUCCAGGCAGGGCACGGCUUUGUCUCUGUUAGUCCUUUGAGUCUGACUGCAAGGAGAAGGAAGCUGAAGAGCAGUAUCACAUGGAUGUUCUCUGCUUACCCAUUGUGUGAAGUCACAGCAGGUGUUACUGCAUUAUGGAUAUUGAAGUUUGUAAAGGGGCAAAAUGAGAAAAAGUAGAUUGGUAACAGAAAUCUCUUAAAGAGAGGAUAUGGAGUGUUGAUGGUUUUAGUCAAGUUACAGAGGAGUUCAAAUCAUACUGUUCAAAAUGUACAAUGAACUGCUUAUAGCUCAAAUGAAAAAACUACAUGUUUUUGCAGUAAAUACAGAUUUUUAAAGAAGAAGGUAAUUACAGCCCUAAGAUCUUCAUGGCAUGGAACAAUGUCUGUAUAAUGAUUCCUUGUGUGAUAUCAUAGCUCCUUCUCUGGCCUGCUGUGCUGUCCCAUUUGAUGCAAGGAGAGGAUGCUGCAGUAAGAUCUGUUUGCAAAAAACCCAGAGAUAAUCUUUGUAUUAAAACCAAUCCCCAUAUGGUGGCAGCCUUCUGAAAGAUAUGGGGAAAAAACACCCUUCAAUUUAAUGCUUGUUUUAAUACAGUCAGAUGAAAACAUACAUAAUGUGGAAUGGAUCCUCUUAAUUUGAUGGGGAAAAAAACAGUAAUCUGUAACCUGUAAGAGAUCAGUGUAAAACAGUGCUAACAACCUUAUUUCAAGCCUAGGCCUUACUUCAACAGUUGACUAUUUUUAGUCAUUCCCAAGUGCUUAAAAUAGACACAGUUUUGGAUGAAUAAUACAUGCCCGGCUUUGAUCACCAGUGCUGGUACAUGAUGGUGGACUACAUGGAGGCUGCCAGAAGAACUUGCUCCUCUACUCUUCUGCUCCCAUUCAGCCACCUCCAAUGCCCAGUGCUCAGCAGAGCCCCUGCCAGCAGAGGAGUGAUGGACACUGUGCUCUGUGCUCCACUCUGCUGGCUGCUGCUGCAGAGGAUAUGUGCAUCAAUGCAGAGGGAGCAGCAGGCAAAACUUGUUUGCCAAAGAUUUAAACGGUAAACUCUAAAGCAUCUCUGGGAAAUGUGGGCUUUAGCUGCUCAUUAGACUUGGCUUGUUUCUCAUUAGAGUGUCUGGCUGCUGAAGAAAAGCUGUUUUCUGGGGAGCUUUGCCAUCACCAGAUCUGGGUGCUUCUACACAGCUGGCUGGCAAACACUGCUGGGAACCAGAGAGGGUUUCCACUUUCUUCGGAUGGAUGCGGUACAGAGAAGGCAAUUUUUCUCUUCCCUUUGUUGGUGCACAGCAGUGCUGGAAGGCAGGAGGAAACCCUGACACUGUUUGUGUGCUGCAGGAAAGUGCAGCCUUUCUGGCAUCCAAGUGAAAAUGUCAGCUACUGAAUGCAGGUUUGGAAGUUGUGUUGUUAGAUACCCUUUUGUCUUUCUUACUGCUUAGAGUAGGACUGCUGCUCUGCCCUGCAAUGACCUGUUUCUGCAAUAUUUUCUGCCCAAGCAAUAAUAAAACCAGAGAGAGAGGGAGAAAUGUAGGCAGUGAUAAAUGCAUCUUAGUAGCACAGAUAGUAUCUGCGGCAUCAGAUCCCUUUCCAAGGCCUCUUGUCCUGCAGCUUGCCCACUAGGAGUCCCUCUAGGUGGGAUCCCCACCCCUCUGUGCUGCCUGCUCCUGCUCUGCAUUGGACUCCAGCUGCCAUUUCUGCUGAGCAUAGGGUACCCUCCACUCCCCUGGCAAGGGGCACGUUUUCCUUGUGAGCUCUCCACACUUUGCUCAUGCAAAUGAAAUCAUUUUAUUCUGACAGAGGGCUCUGAGCUGCAGCCAGCUUAUUGUUUUAGAAAUAAAGAUAUUAGUAUGCAAAUGACUCUGGAAGGUGUUUCUUCUCAUUAGAGAAUGGAGAUCAUUUGAUAAAGGGUGCAGUGCUCUUCAUCAGUAAAAAGGCUCAGCAAAUUUGUCUUGUCUCAACAGCAUUCUAACAACAAGACCGAUUGGAUAAUGCAGAAAAGAAAGCACAGGAGACAAAUGGUUUAUGACACUCCGGUUACCUUUACUGUGCAAGGUGGGCGUGAAAUUUUUUAUGGUGAGACAAAAAAGAUGAUGGGCAAUUAACUACAAACUCUUGCAGCAGGUUUAUCAUAUGCUCGGCUCAUCCAUCUGUGUCUCAGUCUCCGGUGGACUCAUGAGUUUCAUCAAGAAAACCAUUUUCAAACCAGCAGACCAAAACAGAUCGUUUUCGACUCCCAGCCUCAUCGAGGCUUUGCAGUAGUUUUGCCUCGUGUUUACGAUUUAUGGAUGCAACAGAAACACAGAGCAGACAGGAGUGGUCCAGAGAUCUCCCCAUUGCAGGAAGGAAAGCAAGACACCAGGAUUUGAUGGCCAAGAAUGACUUACAUUGAACACAAGGAAGAGUAAUGUGUCUGCAUGUAUAAAAGGUAGAGUUAAAUGAAACUACUGAAUAAUCUGGCCUUGGUUUGUCACAGGUAGGAUUACUUUUGAUGUGUUUUUCCUGGGUUUUAACAGCAAUUUCUAGUUUCUGUUAUAGAUGUAGACAUUCUGUAAGUAUGUCGGUGCAAAUAUGACUUUCCUGUUGCCACCAAAUGUUUCCUCUUAAACCCUUAAAAAUCCCUUUUUAUGUUAUUUAACAAAAGGAGAUAAGGUGAGGACAUGGAGUUUAAAUGCUUGGAGUUAAUAAAAUAGAUAUAAAUGUCAGAAUCUAAAUAGAAAUGUCAGUAUCUAACCCAUCAUUUUAAAAAUCGGCUGUAUAUUUCUCGAAUUACUUUGAAAUAUUUUAAGAUAGAAGAUAUAAAAGGAAGAAUAUUGCAUCCAUGAAGAUGAUUCAAUAACACACCUUUCCUUGUGAUUUUAUUUGCCUGUGGAGGAACUAUCCUACAGAGAAUGGCUCAUCUGAAAGCUUAUUUUUUCUACUUGAUAAAAAGGACACUGGUUUACUUCCAGAGAUUGAAUGUUCUGGCCCCAUUUGUUUCACUUGAGAGAAUUAAAUGCAAAAUAAGCAGGGAGAAAAGCUCAGUAAUAGUAAGAUACAUGACAUAUUUGUUUUAUGUAUAUCUUGCCUGCUUACCAAAGCCUUCAAAUGGUCCACCCAAUUUAUCUUAAUGUUAAAGUAGAUGCUUUUUCAUUCAUAAAUGAUUAUAUGUGCAAAACCACUGACACAAAACAAAAUACAGAAGGUUAAUUUCUCCCCGUGAAAGCCUGUCUGGAAAUGUGAAUCCUGUAAUUUACUUUGUGAAAUAGUAAUGCAGGGGUUGUAUUUUAUUUGUGAAACGUGCUGUGCAUGGGGACUGCUAUGCAAGUCCAAGCACCACCACAAUAAAGUGGUAAUAGAUCUUCCCAGUAAGUAAUGGAAAAGACCCCAUGCCCAUGGUGCUGGAGCUGGGGACCCAAACCUGAAGCCAUAGGAAUUGUUUACAAAGGUUUGUGAGGUUGCCUUGCUCUACUUCAAAGCCUUGGUCUCUGCUUAGUGUGCUAAAGAAGCAGUCAUCCCAUUCUCAAGCGAUCAAGUGAAUCUAUUGAAGUAAUUAAUUGCCAGGCAACUUACUGUCCUGUAUAAUAAAAUUCCUGGAGGUUUUGGUUGCUGUAGUAAGGUCCUGAAUUUUUGUCGGUGUUUGUGUAAAAUCUGGACAACCUAAGGUAGGUCCACAGCUUACAUUAGUAUACUGCACUCAAAGAAGUGCUCAUAAAUCUUUAAAAAGCAUCCUCUGGCACUGCUUCAGUGAAUGAAGGAAAUGAAAUGAAAAUCCUGAAAUUAGUUUUUUGGGAAGCUUAAUUAAAAUAACUGCUAAUACAAAGUGCUAGGAGAUAAGACCUGUAUGCAACAAAAACAAUUAGAAGGCUGAAAAACAAACUCUUCUUUUGAAGCAGUCACCUCUGAAAAAUGAGUCUUUCCCAUCAAAUAUCCAACAGAAUUUUAAACUAUUUUGCUGUGAAGGGCACUGCGUAGAUUCCAGCUGGGCAAAACAUUUCAAUGUGAUCCUAAGUUCUUUGUCAGCUUCUGCGUGUCACACAUGAGUUGCAAAAAUACAUAUCUAACAGAAAAUGAACUGUGGGAUUGACUGCGGCUCCAGCAGUAGGAUUGCUUUCCAUGAGUGAGUGAUCAGGGGCAAUGUCUGAGAUGUCAACAGCCGCAGCAUUAAGGGCAUCCAGUCCAAAUGGGCACACUGGUUAUGGCUUUCCGUCUUCCUUUCCAGUCCAAAUGGGCACAACAGUUGUGGCUUUCUUUAACCCGUUUGCACUAACCACAUCCUGCCCAAUGAUGUGUAGCACAGGUGCUAGCCAUUGCUCAAAGGAUGCUUGUAUUGCUAUGGAAUGCCAUGCAUGAGCCCAGCCCCAGCUCUGCUGACAAAUAGUGAUUCCUUCACUGAUGGAGCACUGGCCAGAUGGAGGCCCUGGGGUCUGCCUUGGGGAGGGCUAGAGCUUAGAGUGCAGAAAUAUUAACGCCAAGUCUGGUUAUUUUUCAAAUCUGAGCUUUGCUUGUAGACAUACUUGGAUAUUUCAAAAGCUUAAAUUAGCAUUCAAAGACCUGCUGGCAAUUUUGGGUCCAGAUUUUGGUCUUAUUGCUUUUGUGAAAAGUAAGAAUGUUGAAGUAGAAAUUGGCACUGCAAACAGGACAGAUUUUAGCUUGUUUAAGCUGAAUUUUGAGAGUUGCUUUGCUCUUCUUCAGGCUGUGUGAGCUUCCAAGUUGGGUAGUUUUGUCUGGAGGAGUAAUGCAUCCUCUGGGCACUGCAGGUUGAAGGAUAUCACCAGCUCAUCUCUGGGCAAUUUCCAUGGUGAAGUCACGAAUCUGCUCUGAUUGAAGCCCAGUUCUGCAUCACUUCCAUCAGUCUGGAGCUUUAUAGCAGUGACCAGUAACCAUGCAAGAAAAAUCAGCAAACAGACGUUCCGCUACAAUAGGAACAAAUGGUAAAUGAUGGCAUUAAAGGUAACUUUCCAUUACAUUUGAUGAUGUGAACCAGAAAUACUUUUAAAUAAUGACUGACGCUGGCAAAUAAAAACAGAAAUAUGUAUCAAACAAUGAGCUGUAAUUGCUCUGGUUUUGCUGAGUAUUGAGACCUCCUAUAAGAGAGAAAUGUGGUUUUGAACAUGGAGGAAGAAGCAGGAGCUCAUUUCAGGGAUGAAAACAUCCUUUUGUGGAUCUUUUCUCCCUGGCUUUCUGCAAAACUGGGUUACUACACUUGCUUGUUGUCAGGGCGCAAUUACAUCAAAUGGAAUUGGAGAUUAAAAGUGUGCGUCCAACACUGAACCCUUCACUUUCCUCUGUCCCUUCCAUGCAGUUACAGGGCUGGGAGCAUUUAUUCCAGGAACACUUGGUGGAAAUAUCUUGAGUAUACCAAUGUCUGGGAAGGGAACAUCAUAUUUUCAGCGUUUCUUCUGAGUCUCUGACCUACCCCAUGCCACCAAGGAUGGAGCCAACCACUGACACUGCUGCCAAAGCAAUGAAUUCUUUUAUCAGCUCCUACGUGCCAUCUGUACUCACAUGUCAUACAGCCUCAUCACUCCAUGCUCGGCCCUAAUGUGAGUGCUUGGCUAUUUGCAGUGCACCAAAAUCACUAGGCUGGGAAUAAGUCACGUUUACUUGUGCUUUGUUUUUGCUGUGUAGAAUUCUCUUCCACAAAAGGAACUUCAGCUCUGAGACAAACAGCUGUUGCUGACACACUUUAAUUAAAACGGAAGGCUGGCUUGAAGAUUUCUUCCAUUUUAAUAUGCAACAAUAACAAGAUGGAAGUAAAAAAGCACAGAUAAGUUGGGAGGAGAAGGGAGAAAUAAAUGUUGUCUGUACUGCUGAAAAUUUGCCUCUACAUUAAUUCUUGGAGACAAAUUCAAUUUCACUGGCUUCAGAAUCCAGGCAGGUUACUUUGGAAAAUGUCCUACCUGAGAAAUUCUUUGAAGGUACAGAUCCAUUGGAAGUGCUCUUGUAAUUACUGUAAUAUUGUCGCCUCUACGCUGGAGCAUGGGGCUGUGUUCACAUCGUCAUUCAUCAUGCUGUAAGUUCAAUAGUGCCUCCAUGUUCAUUAAAGACUAUUUUUAGUUAUCUCAAGGUUGUUUUAGUUUUUUUUUCUCCAGCAAUGUCUAUAAUAAAUUGGAUGUGAAUCAAAACAAAGCCAUUCUUAUAUUUCAAGCCUUAUUUUUCCGUUCCUCCUUAGAAAUGGAAAUCUCUUACUGGCUUUAACUCCAGAAGUGAUGCUGUUGGAGAUGGAUUUUAUGGGACUCCAAAACAGUAGUUCCUUCUUACUAAUGUCCCAGAAAUAUUUUACAUGUUCUAUUCUGUGUUUUAUUCCAUUUUCCCAUGUUUGUAACUGUCUGGUUCUCAGUCUGACACACUCCCUAUCUGGGAACACACUCUUUAAGCUUGUGGAUGAUAGCCUAGUCCUCAGAAAAAAAGGGCUGCACAUUGAGUUAGGAGCAGCUGUAGCAGCACUGAAUUGUAAGAAUUCAGAACCAUAGGGUGUGAAGGGAGCUGGAUUGCCUUUGUAGUUUGGGGGGAAAAAAAUGUAUCUUGCAAACUCUGGUAUUAGCAGGAAUUUAAAGUAUUUAUGUGAUGUGACUAUAGAAGCCAUUUCCAUAAACGAUCAGUGACCUCUUAUAACUCAAACAGUAUUGAAGCCAGGAAGCAUCACUAGAGACUUUCAAAAAGGUCAGAAAUAAGCAUUUAAGAUGAUGUAAUCCCAGCUGACCCACUAGAAUCAGUACCUAUGCAAGAAGAUUUUGGGGAAAUUUAUUUGAAUUGUCACCUUUUAUGACCGCUCCAGUUCCACAGUGAGAUUCCUGACUCCUUUCCAGGCUGUGUUUGCAGAAAACCCCAAAGUAGCACAAUGAAACCAGUUUCUCCCACUGAAUUGAAUGCAGAAGGCUGAGCUCUGGGGAUCUGGAGGUAGCACCAGGCAUAGAAGGAAAGCAGCAAUACUCCAUGGAGAGCUAGUGCUGGUGGAAACCUGCUUCGUGAUGGGUAUUGUAAGAAUAAUACAGAGCUGUUGUAAAUGCACUGGAUGAAUAUAAAUGUGCAGUUUUUGAAAGUUUCUUGAUCAAAAGAGCUUAUCCAUAAACCAUUGCAGAAGGGCUUUCAUUGAUUUAGUGGAUAAUACAUGGGAUUUAUAUAAACACUGAUAUGUAUAGUUUGGUCUGAAGCCAAAGGUUUCUCCAAAACACAUUGUGAAACAGAACAAGCCCUCAGCUCCAGGCAGAAAACAUAUGAUUUCCUAAAAUGAGAGAUUCAGCAAUAAAAGCACUUAAACACAAAAUAACUCUUCCUUUCCUGUUAGAAUAAUAAUGAUAAAGAUUUUAAAAAAAGAAUGCGUGCAGAAAGCAGCACGGUCUGUGAAAAAAUGCUGCAGAAGUAAUUAUUACUUUUUAAGAGGGUCUUUUCAAGUAGGUGUUUUUCCAUGCAAAUACAAAAACAGAAUGGCAUUAAAGGAGCUUAAUUUCCUCCAAUUCCUUACAAAUUUCAUGUUUUUAGAAGUAAGUGGUAACAGUGCCAUAAGGUUAUGAGCUGUAUUGUUUUCCCUACAGUAGUUGUGUUUGGUGGCCAAUGACCAGCAGUGUAGCAAGGACCGGUACCACCAUGGUCAGAGAAUGGAAGUGCCAUGUGAAACAUCUGCCCAAAUCACAUCCAUUUAUAUUGUGUAAUCUUUGAGCCAGGAUCCAGAAGGCUGAUGAUAAUCCAGGACUAAAUAUGUACCUUUUACACAACAUUAACUGACUUUCUUCUAGCUUGUCAAACAGCUUAGGGAUUUAUUAUGUGUUUAUUGUAUGCCUCACCAGUUUCUAUCUUGAGGACUGCAUAUUUAUUUGUAGCUUCCAUGUCUAAGCACUGAACUUUGCUUAACGAAGCAUAAUUAAUCAUGGAUCUUCAUGCUAUGAGGCUGCACACUUUGUGUGUUAUUUCUAACAGAGGGAUACAGGGGGCCUGGAUUGCCGACGCAGGCAAAUUCAGGAAUAGGCUGAAGGAACUGGAGAUCCUCUGCUUUGGGUUUUGUUUAUUCCUUUGGUUUUGCUUGGUUUGUUUUCUUCCUAACUCCUGUCUUUUUUGGGGCUAACAACUUGAUCUCUCCUUGCAAACCAGGGUUAGCAAUGGCCUAUAACAGAAUUUACUGGUGUAAUCAUUUACAUCAUUUCUCCUGCAGAAGUCACUGUGAAGGCAGACAUAUGGACAUAUGGCGUGCUGGAUGUGCUGACACCCAUGAGAAGAACCCUCCAUAGGAGGAUUCCAGCCCCGGGCAGCUGAGCAGAGAACUUGUGAUGCUGUGGAUAAGCUGAAAUAACCAUUCUGGCCAAGGCAAGCUUAUCUAAAUGAAAACCUGACUUGCAAACCCUUUGGAGCCUUUCCCAUCACUACCACAAAAGCCCAUAUUUAAGGAAGAAGAUGAAAUGUUUCAGCUUUCAAUUUCAAACAAGUGCAGUUAUUUCAGCUCUAAAAAAAAUCAGAUGGCAGAUUAUUAAAAACUGCUGCACUGCCCAAAAAGACAACUUAGAGCAAAAUUCUGUGUGCUACUCAAACAAAAACCAUCCACACCUUUCUGGGAUGAAGUGGUGGCAGUGCCAAUGAAGAUGUGAAGUCUCAGUUUCCAUUCUCCAGCAGCACGGCUGCCUGUUGAGUGCUGAGGCUAUGCAGGGAUCACACACCGUCAUUCUAUUUAGCAGUCUGAAGAUCUGGAUGGGAUGCUCAGUUGGGACUCUGGCAGACAUCAGCCCACCAUGCUUUGGGGCAGCCCUACACAGUGCCAGGUUGAUGGGGGAGAGCAGCGGGGUCAUGUUUCCUGUGUGAGUCAUGUCAGAUUUAUCUGCGGCGGAAACUGGGGCUUGAGCACCCAAUAAGUUUGCUAUAGCUCUGCCUAAAGUCUCAGGGCUUCAUUUAGCCAACACUCUGAAUUAAUUUUCCUAUCAAAUGGAUGCUUUCUUAAAAUACAGGGAGAAAAUCUUUUUCACUGAUAGGAUUGUUCUGCGAACCGUUCCUAAUGAGCUGCUGUGUCAUUCCCUCAUGCUUAGGCUGCUCCAGAAUUAAGCAUUCUGGUCUUCUACUUCCCAUUAAGAAUGUUUUAUUUUAGCUGGGACCUUCUUCAAAUAAACUUCAAAAGCUGUUAGGAAAA